CGGCGGCAGGGGGCGGAGGGCCGGAGCCGGCGCCGCAGCCGGCUGCUCCGCGCUGCCCUGCUCCGCGCUACCCUGCGCUCCGCCGCUCGGCGUGGACGCGGCCGGGGCCCACCGGGACCCCGCCAUCCGAGGGCAGAUCUAGUCCAGCUCUCCAGGGCUAAAGAAAUCACGGUGCCCAGUGUGGAUGCUACCAGAAUCCAGUGCCCAGUGGGAGAAGUAGGGCACCCACUCUCCUGGUACAGGCAUCUCUUUAUCAUGGCCGUGCUUGGCUGCUGCUUGCCCGUCUCCUGCUUGCCUGGCUGGAGGUUCGAGAGGCACAGGCAGCAUCCUGCCCAUCCUGAGGGACCCCCCAGGGCUCUGCAUCACCUCCAGGCAGCAGGAUCUCGGCGGGGUGAGGGUCUCUGACUUGCAUCCGUGUGUGGGCAUGGGGAGAGCUCCCUGCUGGGAUCUACUUCUGCCCGGCUCCACCUUCUCUGAGGCUGAGAGCCAGUGACCCACCCCGGGAGAACCCCACCGCUUCCCACCAUGUGUGAGGUGAUGCCCACCAUCAGCGAGGGGGACCCUCUGGGCCCCUCUCACCCGGCCGACGCGGACGCCAACUUCGAGCAGCUGAUGGUGAACAUGCUGGAUGAGCGGGAGAAGCUGCUGGAGUCCCUGCGCGAGAGUCAGGAGAGCUUGGGGGCCACGCAGAGCCGGCUGCAGGAUGCCCUGCACCAGCGGGAUCAGCUGCAGCGCCACCUCAACUCCGCCCUGCCCCAGGAGUUUGCCACGCUGACCCGGGAGCUGAACGUCUGUCAGGAGCAGCUCCUGGAGAGGGAGGAGGAGAUCUCGGAGCUGAAGGCCGAGCGAAACAACACGAGGCUGCUCCUGGAGCACCUGGAGUGCCUGGUGUCCCGCCACGAGCGCUCUCUACGGAUGACGGUGGUCAAGCGUCAGGCCCAGUCGCCCUCGGGCGUGUCGAGUGAGGUGGAGGUCCUCAAGGCCCUCAAGUCCCUAUUUGAGCACCACAAGGCACUGGAUGAGAAGGUGCGGGAGCGGCUGCGGGCGGCACUGGAGCGUGUCACCACCCUGGAGGAGCAGCUGGCCGGAGCCCACCAGCAGGUGUCUGCCCUGCAGCAGGGCUCCCGGCCCCGAGAUGCAGCUCCAGGGGAGGUGGGGAGCCGAGGAGAGGCCCCGGAGCCGGGGCCCAAGCUCCUGUGGAAGCGACUGACCAAUGGCUCGGUGCAUCCGGAGGAUGAGGUGGGGCGGACGCUGGAGCUGCAGGAGCUGUUGGAGAAGCAGAAUCUGGAGCUGGCCCAGGCCCGGGAGCGGUUGGCGGCCCUGGUGGCUACGGUGGCCGAGCUGGAGGAGGACCUGGGCACCGCCCGCAAGGACCUUAUCAAGUCGGAGGAGUUGAGCAGCAAGCACCAGCGGGACCUCCGUGAGGCCCUGGCGCAGAAGGACGACAUGGAAGAACGCAUCACCACGCUGGAGAAGCGCUACCUGGCGGCCCAGCGGGAGGCCACGUCCAUCCAUGACCUCAACGACAAGCUGGAGAAUGAGCUGGCCACCGAGGCAUCCCUACACCGCCAGUGCGAGGAGAAAUCCCGGCACCUGCAGGAGCUGUUGGAGCUGGCCGAGCAGAAGCUGCAGCAGACCAUCCGCAAGGCCGAGACCCUGCCCGAAGUAGAGGCCGAGUUGGCCCAGAGGAUUGCGGCCCUCACCAAGGCUGAGGAGCGGCAUGGCAACAUCGAGGAACACCUGAGGCAGCUGGAGGGGCAGCUGGAGGAGAAGAACCAGGAGCUGGCCAGGGUGCGCCAGCGAGAGAAGAUGAACGAGGACCACAACAAGCGCCUGUCGGACACGGUGGACCGGCUGCUGAGCGAGUCCAACGAGCGGCUGCAGCUGCACCUCAAGGAGCGAAUGGCGGCCCUGGAGGAGAAGAAUACGUUGAUCCAGGAGCUGGAGAGUUCCCAGCGGCAGAUUGAGGAACAGCAUCACCACAAGGGCCGGCUGUCGGAGGAGAUCGAGAAGCUGCGCCUGGAAGUGGACCAGCUGAGGGGGCGGAGUGGCCCGUUUGGGGAGGGGGUCCAUUCCAGGUCCCACUUGGGGAGCGCCGUGGACCUGCGAUUUCCCCUAAGCAGCGUGGUUCACGCUCCUCCCGGUCCCCAUGCCCUUCACCGCCGCUUCUCUGCCUUACGGGAAGAGCCCAGCAAGGAUUGGGAGCUUUCCCCGCUCCCGGGGGUCCUGGCCCCAGCGGCCCCUGCUUUUGACAGCGACCCUGAGAUCUCAGAUGUGGACGAAGAUGAGCCAGCGGGGCCGGUGGGCCCUGUGGACGUCCUCUCCCCGAGCGGCCACUCGGAUGCCCAGACCCUGGCCAUGAUGCUCCAGGAGCAGCUGGACGCCAUCAAUGAGGAGAUCAGGAUGAUCCAGGAAGAGAAAGAGUCCACGGAGCUGCGGGCCGACGAGAUCGAGACCCGGGUGACCAGUGGGAGCAUGGAGGCCCUGAACCUGACGCAGCUGCGCAAGCGGGGCUCCAUCCCCACCUCCCUCACGGCCCUGUCCCUGGCCAGUGCCUCCCCGCCCCUCAGCGGCCGUUCCACCCCCAAGCUCACCUCCCGCAGUGCCGCCCAGGAUCUGGACCGCAUGGGGGUCAUGACAUUGCCAAGCGAUUUAAGGAAACACAGGAGGAAGCUUCUGUCUCCAGUUGCUCGGGAAGAGAGCCGAGAAGACAAAACCACCAUAAAAUGUGAGACCUCUCCUCCUUCCUCACCCAGGACCCUGCGGCUGGAAAGGCUCGGCCACCUGGCCCCCAGCCAGGAAGAUGGCAAAAGCUCCUUGGACGACCAGGGCAGUAAUCCCAGCAGCAGCAGCAACAGCAGCCAGGAUUCUCUGCACAAGGGCACCAAGCGCAAAGGCAUCAAGUCUUCCAUCGGCCGCCUGUUUGGGAAGAAGGAGAAGGGUCGGCUCAUCCAGCUGAGCAGGGAAGGAGCCCCGGGCCACGUUAUGCUGUCGGAAUCGGAGCCGAACCUGCAGGAGCCCCUGGUGCCUGCCAAGCUGGGCACCCAGGCAGAGAAGGACCGGCGAUUAAGGAAGAAGCACCAGCUCCUGGAAGAUGCCCGUCGCAAGGGGAUGCCCUUUGCCCACUGGGACGGACCCACGGUGGUGUCAUGGCUGGAGCUGUGGGUAGGGAUGCCCGCCUGGUACGUGGCGGCCUGCCGGGCCAACGUCAAGAGUGGCGCUAUCAUGUCGGCCCUGUCGGACACGGAGAUCCAGCGGGAGAUCGGCAUCAGCAACGCCCUGCACCGGCUCAAGCUCCGACUGGCCAUCCAGGAGAUGGUGUCGCUGACCAGCCCUUCCGCCCCGCCCACCUCCAGGACGUCUUCUGGGAAUGUCUGGGUGACCCACGAGGAGAUGGAGACGCUGGCGACAUCAACCAAGACCGACAAAGAAGAGGGGAGCUGGGCUCAGACCUUGGCCUAUGGGGAUAUGAACCACGAGUGGAUCGGGAACGAGUGGCUGCCCAGCCUGGGCCUCCCCCAGUACCGCAGCUACUUCAUGGAGUGCUUGGUGGAUGCCCGCAUGUUGGAUCACCUCACCAAGAAGGAUCUGCGCGUCCACUUGAAGAUGGUGGACAGCUUCCACCGGUCCAGCCUGCAGUAUGGCAUCAUGUGCCUGAAGAGGCUCAACUAUGACCGGAAGGAACUGGAGAAGAGGCGCGAGGAGAGCCAGCAUGAAAUCCAAGAUGUGCUGGUGUGGACCAACGACCAGGUGAUGCACUGGAUUCAGUCCAUUGGCCUGCGGGAAUAUGCCAACAACCUCCACGAGAGCGGGGUGCACGGGGCCCUCCUCGCCCUAGACGAGAACUUUGAUCACAACACGCUGGCCCUGGUGUUACAGAUCCCCACGCAGAAUACCCAGGCCCGGCAAGUAAUGGAAAGAGAGUUCAACAACCUCCUGGCCUUGGGCACGGACCGACGGCUGGAUGAUGGAGAUGACAAGGCAUUCCGGCGGGCCCCAUCCUGGAGGAAGCGAUUCCGCCCUCGGGAUGCCCAUGGGGGCAGUGUGCUCAGCACGUCGGCGGAGACGCUCCCUGCCACCUUCCGGGUCUCUGCAAUGGGGCCACUGCAGCCUACUUCAGCCCCUCCAAAGAAGAUGUUGCCGGAAGCCGGGACACCAGGGUCACAGAGACUGGAGGCCUCUACGGUCCGGACCUACUCCUGCUGAGCCCCCGCCCCGCCCUGCCCCGGGUCUGACGGGGAUCUGCCCGUCGCUCGGGUGCAUUCCCACUAUCUGUAUGGACACAUGCUCUCCGCCUUUCGAGACUGAGUGCCCCCAACCAGCUCCCUCUUCAACUGGCAACAGACCCGUCCCCUCCUGCUUGUUCCCUGCCCAGUAGCCCCCAGUCUUGUCUGUGAACUCUCCAGUCACCCUGGCCUCUGGGUCUAAGAAUAUACUCAUCGUCCACCGCUCCCCUUGGCUUUCCUCUGUCCCUCGGGCUUCCUUCAUCCUCGUGUCUCGUGUGGAUGUUACUAAGGGCCCUUGUUGGCCGGGCUCCGGCCCAUCAUGCUAGGACUGAGGGGCCAGCCCUGACCCUUCCUCUUCUGCGUGGGGGUCUGGAGGCUGAAAGUGAUUCAUACCCUUACCCUGGCAGCCAUGGGGCAGAGGAUAUCCUGUUCGGCAAGUUGGCACAGCUCCAGGCUGAAGGGGCAAUGGCACCGGCCGCGACUCUGGGCCUGCCCUCCCAGAGGCAGCAGUGAUCUCUAUUCUGGUCGGUCUUCAUUUGUGGACUCAUUGCAGGUUUCCUGACCUUAGAAAGGCUUUCUUCAGCGUUCCCUCCCUACCCGCAAGCUGGAGUGUGUGUCACCCUAAGGGGAUGCCUGGAUCUCCACUUUCCCUUCCUUCUCCAGCGGCUUUAGAUUGGGUGGUUGGAGUGGGUUUAAAAGGAGAGAGAAGGGAUCUCAAAUCCACACCCAUCCGUCCACAGCGAGCAGUUAAAGCUGGGGUUCUGGUCUGGCGGCUGUCCAGUUUAGCCCACUUUGCCCCCGGCGUAGGCUCUGUGCCAGUUCCUGCAGAAGGUUCUGGGAAGUGCCAGGAAGACCAGAGGCUUGGCGAGAGAAGUAGGGCCGUGAAGGGAAGGAGAAACCUGGUUGGGUUGAAAGAGGGAGGGCCAGAGGCCCAGAGUGGAGCCUGGUCAUAUGAAGCUCCUGGUACUCCUGCCCCCUUGCCCCUUCUCUUUGCCAGAUGCCCACAGAAGACUGUGGUUUUUCCACUUGAAAUAAAGCAAAUCCAACCACCAGGACACCGUUGCUGCUUGGGGCUAGCAGGUCCCAACCAGGGGCCAGCUGCCUCCUCAUUUCCCAGACUGCUUCCCGGGGGAGCGUUUGAGAGAGGCAGUAGGGCUCGGCAGCUCUGUCGGGUCCCAGCAGGGAUUGAGGCCACCCACUCCUGAGCCCAGCUGGGGCAGGGCCAGGCCGGGGCCAGGGCCAGAGGGGUGAGUGCAGAGCUACUUGAACUUUUGAGCAGGAUCACCAGGGCUUGUCUGACAGCUCCUGCCCCUAUCCUACUUCUGCCAUGGUCCUCCGGUUGGGGCGGGGGUGGGAGGUGGGGCAGGGGACUGGCAGUCCCAGCAGGCCCUAGGGGAUUGAGAGGGAUAAGGGGCCCCAGGACAGUGGCUGGUGGUAAACCUCGGCCUAGAGAGCCUCCCCUGGGCUCUCCACUGCCCCGGGGUGAGCCUGGAAAUCUCUCUGCUCCCAGCGUUUCCAGCAUUUGAAUAUUGAUCCUGGCUCCAUCCAGGAUAACUCAGGGCCAAAUUCAGUCCCCCGACUCCUCGCAGGGUGCCGCACUCUACUCACUCGCUUCCUCGGGGUGUGAGAACCUCUGGGCCUGGGACAGCGUCGGUCUAUCUCCAGGCUACUGUCGGUGCUCUGCAGAGCACCGGUCCCGCGGCCGACCAGAGGGCACGAGGCGUGUUUUCUUCCAGAAGGGGCUGCUGAGGCCACAAGGGUGGGUGAGCAGAGCUCUCUGAUCUGGGCAGAGAGGAGGGAAGGGAGAGUGGUCAGCGCCAGUGUUCGGCGCUUGAUUCGUUCACUGCUUUUUUUGGGAAGGGGUUACAGAGGAGGAAGUCCUUCACAUAGUAUUGCCUUGUCUCCCUCCCUUUGGGGUCCGUGCCAAGGUUUGAGACACUGCUGAGGCCUUGGCUCUGCCAGGGAGGAGGGAGUUGUGAGGGAUUCACAGUCCUGAUGGUAGUUUGGACUCAGUGAGAAUCUGUUACCCACCCCUCCUUCCCAGGAGCAAGAAAUUGAGCCUGGUUUAUGCAGGGACCAGAUGGGUUUGGGAGCCGAGGGUGUCUUAGGAGGUGAGAGUGGGGUGUGGUUGGGAGGUGAGAGAGAGAGAGAUUGAGGAGAGAGAGAGAGAGAGAGAUAUUGAGGCGAGAGAGAGAGACAGGGAACCGCAAUAUGGGUGAGAACGUAAAGUCCUUUCCAAGCCUUCUAGGGAUCAGUUGUUAGGAUCCAAGACCUCUUUCAGGAUUAGGGGGUCAAGGAUCUGAGUCUUGGGAACACAAGGAUCAUGGUGCCAUCAAUUACAGUUUAGAGAACUUUUGAAUUUUUAAAAUUUUCCCCCAACACUAGGGCGCUAAGCUGGGUGGGAGCCCUGAGCUGCAGCCCACCUCCCUGGGUCCCUCCCCAGCUUGGUCCCGGGCAGCAGCUGGAAGAAGUUGGCCAUGGCAAAGGAGCGGGCCAGGGGGUGUUGUCUUGGUGUAUUCCUUACCUAAUGCCUGAUAGAUUUUUAAAAUUUUCAUUUGGAGAGUCACCAGUGGCCCACCGGUCCUUGCCCUUACUCUGUCCCAUCAGGUCCCUCUUCAGUACUGUAUUGGCUCCCCUAGCAUCAGGAAUGGAUGUGUGUGUAUGUGUGUGUGUGUGGAUGUGUGGAGAUGUGGAGAUGUGUGUGGAUGUGUGUACAUACCAAUAAACUCAGAUUUUAAAACAACAUCA